AAAAUGCGAUACGUAGUGCGAUUUGCAUUAUUUGCGAGUCAUCAAAUCUUUGAACGCAACUUGCGCCUGUUUCGUACAGGCAUGUCUAUUUGAGUACCGUAAACCAAAUAAUCAGUUGCUCUUAAGAGCUAAAGAUGGCAUGUAUAUUGUGAGUUUGAAGCUAGAGACCACCGGUCAUUGGCCCGGUCUUGUUCAUUCUCUCCAUUUAUACCGGUCUCAAAUUAGGCAAGAUUACCCGCUGAACUUAA
rnacentral:misc_RNA from 1 species